rnacentral:rRNA from 1 species
GAUGAACGCUGACAGAAUGCUUAACACAUGCAAGUCAACUUGAAUUUGGGUUUUUAACUUAGGUUUGGGUGGCGGACGGGUGAGUAACGCGUAAAGAACUUGCCUCACAGCUAGGGACAACAUUUGGAAACGAAUGCUAAUACCUAAUAUUAUGAUAAUAGGGCAUCCUAUAAUUAUGAAAGCUAUAAGCGCUGUGAGAGAGCUUUGCGUCCCAUUAGCUAGUUGGAGAGGUAACGGCUCACCAAGGCGAUGAUGGGUAGCCGGCUUGAGAGGGUGAUCGGCCACAAGGGGACUGAGACACGGCCCUUACUCCUACGGGAGGCAGCAGUGGGGAAUAUUGGACAAUGGACCGAGAGUCUGAUCCAGCAAUUCUGUGUGCACGAUGAAGUUUUUCGGAAUGUAAAGUGCUUUCAGUUGGGAAGAAACAAAUGACGGUACCAACAGAAGAAGUGACGGCUAAAUACGUG